rnacentral:rRNA from 1 species
AGUCGAGCGGUAGCACAGAGAGCUUGCUCUCGGGUGACGAGCGGCGGACGGGUGAGUAAUGUCUGGGAAACUGCCUGAUGGAGGGGGAUAACUACUGGAAACGGUAGCUAAUACCGCAUAACGUCGCAAGACCAAAGUGGGGGACCUUCGGGCCUCAUGCCAUCAGAUGUGCCCAGAUGGGAUUAGCUGGUAGGUGGGGUAACGGCUCACCUAGGCGACGAUCCCUAGCUGGUCUGAGAGGAUGACCAGCCACACUGGAACUGAGACACGGUCCAGACUCCUACGGGAGGCAGCAGUGGGGAAUAUUGCACAAUGGGCGCAAGCCUGAUGCAGCCAUGCCGCGUGUGUGAAGAAGGCCUUCGGGUUGUAAAGCACUUUCAGCGGGGAGGAAGGCGGUGAGGUUAAUAACCUCAUCGAUUGACGUUACCCGCAGAAGAAGCACCGGCUAACUCCGUGCCAGCAGCCGCGGUAAUACGGAGGGUGCAAGCGUUAAUCGGAAUUACUGGGCGUAAAGCGCACGCAGGCGGUCUGUCAAGUCGGAUGUGAAAUCCCCGGGCUCAACCUGGGAACUGCAUUCGAAACUGGCAGGCUAGAGUCUUGUAGAGGGGGGUAGAAUUCCAGGUGUAGCGGUGAAAUGCGUAGAGAUCUGGAGGAAUACCGGUGGCGAAGGCGGCCCCCUGGACAAAGACUGACGCUCAGGUGCGAAAGCGUGGGGAGCAAACAGGAUUAGAUACCCUGGUAGUCCACGCUGUAAACGAUGUCGAUUUGGAGGUUGUGCCCUUGAGGCGUGGCUUCCGGAGCUAACGCGUUAAAUCGACCGCCUGGGGAGUACGGCCGCAAGGUUAAAACUCAAAUGAAUUGACGGGGGCCCGCACAAGCGGUGGAGCAUGUGGUUUAAUUCGAUGCAACGCGAAGAACCUUACCUGGUCUUGACAUCCACAGAACUUUCCAGAGAUGGAUUGGUGCCUUCGGGAACUGUGAGACAGGUGCUGCAUGGCUGUCGUCAGCUCGUGUUGUGAAAUGUUGGGUUAAGUCCCGCAACGAGCGCAACCCUUAUCCUUUGUUGCCAGCGGUUAGGCCGGGAACUCAAAGGAGACUGCCAGUGAUAAACUGGAGGAAGGUGGGGAUGACGUCAAGUCAUCAUGGCCCUUACGACCAGGGCUACACACGUGCUACAAUGGCAUAUACAAAGAGAAGCGACCUCGCGAGAGCAAGCGGACCUCAUAAAGUAUGUCGUAGUCCGGAUUGGAGUCUGCAACUCGACUCCAUGAAGUCGGAAUCGCUAGUAAUCGUAGAUCAGAAUGCUACGGUGAAUACGUUCCCGGGCCUUGUACACACCGCCCGUCACACCAUGGGAGUGGGUUGCAAAAGAAGUAGGUAGCUUAACCUUCGGGAGGGCGCUACC